AGCAUGCUCGGUUAAAACAAGUAAUUUUACAGGGGGGUACAAACUUUCAGCAAUAGCAAAAAAUCUACAAGGCCAAGCACCUAUUUCUUUGUGAUAUUUUGCAUGCAUAGGGAGUUGCUAAAGCAGUGACAGAGUUUUUGUAGACCGUAUAUUUGCAGGUUGUGUAGUUUGGGAUCAGAUUUAUCAGACAUAUUGCUUGUAGGACAUUGACGGCAGAAACUUGAAAUUUAGUGUGGAGUGCUACCUUAAGGUUGUGUAGUUUGGGAUCAGAUUUAUCAGACAUAUUGCUUGUAGGACAUUGACGGCAGAAACUUAAAAUUUAGUGUGGAGUGCUACCUUAAGCUGUAUGUGUGAAAUAUGGCCAUCCGAAGUGUUUCGAGUGAUGCAAAAUCAUUGUAUGGAGGUUGUGUAGUUUGGGAUCAGAUUUAUCAGACAUAUUGCUUGUAGGACAUUGACGGCAGAAACUUGAAAUUUAGUGUGGAGUGCUACCUUUGAU